GUGCAAAGCAGUCCGUAGUCUCACAGCCCGCGCACUGCACCCUGCAGAGAGGACAUGGCCUGUCAUUUCAGGAGAGCCAUAGCCGAGCAGGUUUCGCGAGUUGUGGGCGUACCGCCAGAAAAAUUACUCCAUCACAUUCAUGCAAUUCCAGUUCACAGGAGACAUGCAUCCCCUGACUUUCAGCUAUAUGUGAAUUCUGUGUUAGAUGAACCUGGUGAUGCAGCCAGUCACAGGAAGAAGGCACAAACUGUUGCAGAAAAGCUAACCUGUGACUCAGUAGUAAGUGAAAUAGGCUCUGGUCGGGGAUCCGUGACUUUCAAAAUCAACAGAGAUUUAUUAGUUAAGACUGUUCUGAACAGAAUAAACCAAGAUGGCUCUAGGUAUGGAUUUAACUCUGAGCUUUUGUCUGACACGCCAAAAGGUCUUACACUGGUUGAAUAUAGUUCACCCAAUAUUGCUAAAAAGUUUCAUGUUGGACAUUUGCGCUCUACAAUAAUUGGGAAUUUUAUUGCUAAUCUGAAGGAAGCAGCUGGUAAUGAAGUUGUAAGAAUAAACUACCUAGGGGACUGGGGCCUGCAGUUUGGUCUUCUGGGUGCUGGAUUCACCAAGUUCGGCAACGAAGAGGAACUUAACACUAAUCCUCUACAACACCUUUUUGUGGUUUAUGUGAAAGCCAAUGCUGCAGCUGAACAAGAUGAAGACAUGAAGCGGUCGGCCCAGGAUUUUAUGGGAAAGCUUGAGAGUGGAAAUCAGCAAGCUCUGUCCCUGUGGACACACUUCAGAGGCCUGAGCAUUCAGGAGUAUUCUAAAGUGUAUAAGCGUCUCAACGUACAUUUUGAUGAGUAUUCUGGCGAGUCCUUUUACAGAGAAAAAUCACAAGAUGUUCUGAACCUCUUGAGAAGCAAAGACCUUCUAAAGACAACUGAUGAGGGUACUGGAGUAGUAGACGUGUCAGAAGGAGGAGAUUUAUCAACUUACUCCACAGUAAUGCGUAGUGAUGGGUCAACGCUAUACAUUACAAGGGACAUAGCGGCUGCAAUUGAUCGAAUAGAGAAAUACAACUUUGAUGAAAUGGUUUAUGUGACAGACAAAAGCCAGGAAAAGCAUUUUCAGCAUCUGUUCAAAAUUUUGAAGAUGCUUGGGAAAGAAAAGGCAGACUGUUGUCGGCAUGUUCCAUUUGGGCGAGUACAGGGGAUGCACACAAGGAGAGGAGAUGUGAUUUUUCUGGAAGAUGCCUUAGAUGAAGCUCGCAUAAGGAUGCUGCAAAAUAUGGAAAUUGCUGAAACAAGCAAAACCACUGAGGACCCUGCUUAUACUGCUGAGCAAAUUGGCGUUGCAGCUCUUAUUUUACAGGAUUUUAAGGGUCCACUUGUGUCUGAUUACCGCUUUAAUUGGGACCAAGCACUCCAGAGUUGCGGUGAUACUGGUGUCUUUCUGCAGUAUACACAUGCACGACUGCACAGCUUACUUGCUUUGUGGCAUACAAGAGAGCAAGAAGAGUUCAGUGUGGCCUAUUUGCAGGACCCUGCUGUUAUUUCCACAUUGCAGCAUCUUCUCAGAUAUGAUGAAGUAAUAUUCAAGACGUUAAAAGAAUUUCAGCCAAGAUAUUUGGUUGCUUACCUUCUGGGGCUUGGUGUAUUGUAUCCAGGUACACGAUCUAUUAAUUCAGCCCACUACUAUCGCUAUGACUUCCACGGGAUGCAGUCAAUUUGCCGGCGGUCAGGAACCCAGCGUUCAGGAUACAGACGCCAAAACCCUACAGCCAACAAUGCUGCUAGCCAGAAUCCACGACACCCAUAGAGUGGGAAUAGAUUCUGAGACAUUUAGCUAAUGUUGCACAUCACUCGCUCCAUGUUAUAGGAAACACCGCAGAGGUCACACAUGCUCGACUUCACUUU